UACGUAGGGUGCAAGCGUUAAUCGGAAUUACUGGGCGUAAAGCGUGCGCAGGCGGUUUUGUAAGUCUGUUGUGAAAUCCCCGGGCUCAACCUGGGAAUGGCAAUGGAGACUGCAAGGCUAGAGUUUGGCAGAGGGGGGUAGAAUUCCACGUGUAGCAGUGAAAUGCGUAGAUAUGUGGAGGAACACCGAUGGCGAAGGCAGCCCCCUGGGUCAAAACUGACGCUCAUGCACGAAAGCGUGGGGAGCAAACAGGAUUAGAAACCC
rnacentral:rRNA from 1 species